rnacentral:rRNA from 1 species
ACGGGUGAGUAACGCGUGGGAACGUGCCCUUCGGUUCGGAAUAACUCAGGGAAACUUGAGCUAAUACCGGAUACGCCCUUUUGGGGAAAGGUUUACUGCCGAAGGAUCGGCCCGCGUCUGAUUAGCUUGUUGGUGAGGUUACGGCUCACCAAGGCGACGAUCAGUAGCUGGUCUGAGAGGAUGAUCAGCCACACUGGGACUGAGACACGGCCCAGACUCCUACGGGAGGCAGCAGUGGGGAAUAUUGGACAAUGGGGGCAACCCUGAUCCAGCCAUGCCGCGUGAGUGAUGACGGCCUUAGGGUUGUAAAGCUCUUUUCUCCGGGACGAUAAUGACGGUACCGGAGGAAUAAGCCCCGGCUAACUUCGUGCCAGCAGCCGCGGUAAUACGAAGGGGGCUAGCGUUGCUCGGAAUCACUGGGCGUAAAGGGCGCGUAGGCGGCUGAUUUAGUCGAGGGUGAAAGCCCGUGGCUCAACCACGGAAUGGCCUUCGAUACUGGUUGGCUUGAGACCGGAAGAGGACAGCGGAACUGCGAGUGUAGAGGUGAAAUUCGUAGA